CAACAACCUGAUCAUUGUGCGCGUUUCUUCCUCGCGACAGAGCUAGGGCACCGACGGCCGGCGACCACUUCUCCUGAUUCACUGCCGCCGGCCGGAGCUUGUUCGUCACCUCCCGCGGUCAUCUCCUAUCCAUAACCACACUUCCUCUUCGGGAUUUCCAGCGACGUGCAGGCUAGGGCAGCAACGACGGCAAGCCAUUCUAGGCGGCAAGCUUCGGCUCCGAUCAUCCACCUCCCCGGAGGCGUUCUCCGGUGAGAUUCUUCACCUUCCGACCAUCCCUACCCUUUUCCCAGCAGCAGCUCUUCUCCAACAGAUCUCGACAGAACCUCACAGCUCCGCCUUCAUCAGAUCUCGAACAGCAGCCUCUUCGUUCCACCAAGUCCGAACAACAAGUUUAUUCUCCUAUUGUUGAUACUGUGGUUUGCAUGGUUGAAGAUUUGAUGUUCUUCAUAACAUUGAUGUUGCAGAAUACUUUCACUGGAAUAUGCUAUGUGAUUCAAUAACUCCUAUUUUUCCACUGGACUGUUAAUCUCUUUUUGAUUUUGUGGAUAACUUUGCUGCAAACUAUGCUAUGAAGAGAGUUUAUUAUGUCAACCAUGCAUUGGGGAUAUCUGGACGCAGGAAACCUUGCUGGAAUCUAUUAUGAACAAAGUCAACUUGACAUGGCAAUUCUGCAUUACAAGCAAGCUAUCAACUGUGAUUCUACCUUUAUUGAAGCUUACAAUAAUUUGAUAAGUUGAUAAUGGUCUAAUAUGUCAAAAUGUGGUAUCGUUCUUGAUGGUGAGCCAGGUUAGUUAAUGAUCAACUUUCUUGCACAUUAAAAGGGGAAUGCUCUCAAAGACGUUGGACAUGUUGAAGAGGCUAUCAACUUCUAUAGGGUGACUUUUUAAUUUGGAUAUUUUUAUUCUCUUAAGUUUUUUUUCCUUGUUGAAUAAUUUCAUUUUAAUAAUAUUUCCCAAGUCAUGCCUUGCUUUACAACCUAACCAUCCACAAGCAUUGUCAAGCCUUGGCAACAUAUACAUGGACUGCUAAGCUUUAGAAAUGUUUGAUGACAACUGUGCGGAUAGUUUAUUUUUGUUCCUUAAUGAAACUUCUCUUCAUGCAGCAACAUGAUGAGUGUUGCUGCAUCAUUCUAUAAGGCAACUUUAGCAGUUACAACAAGGAUAUCUGCGCCCUUCAACAACUUGGCUAUUAUAUACAAGCAACAGCAGGGAACUUAUGCAGAAGCGAUAGCCUGUUACAAUGAAGUUCUUCGCAGACUGCUGCUGAUGGUCUUAUCAAUAGAGGGAACACAUUUAAUGAGAUUGGUAGAGUUACUGAAGUAAUUCAGGAUUAUAUACGUGUUGUGAAUAUCAGACCAACUAUGCCUGAAGCCCAUGCAAAUUUGGCUUCAGCUUACAAAGAUAGUUUACAAAUCUCAAGUACUCCAGAGUUGAAAUUGAUAAAGUGCGGUUCGAGUGGGCUGAA